AUAUAAAUCCUGAACUGCCUCCGUGACUCUUUAACUGGAGUCACACUCCCAUAGUGUCACCGGCUCUAUUCAGCGCACCCUGUUGAGAUCCUACACCUCUUUCACUCAGGUUGGAGGCUGGAGUCGGUGACUCUCCUCUCCCUGUGCCAAACAGAACGCUCCUGAGUUGCAAGAGGAGCCAGUAAGCAGCAGUGGUGGUGUCCAGGCAACUGAUGAGGAUGGUGCUGCAUCUCCUGCCCCAGCCCAGCAAGGCCACCUGUGAGGAUGAGGACAUCAUCCUCAGCCUUCCUCCAGACAUUGUUCUACACCACAGCUUCAAACGAAAAGUGUCUUAUCUGCAGUAAAGAGAAGAAGGCACGAGAUGGACCACAUGCUGGAGACGGUGGAUGAGGUGAAGGAGAUGUGUUUGAGGAUGGACGGUCAUUUCAAGCACCUCCUGGAGGCUCAGAGAACAGAGGCCCAGGAGAUGACCACACUGGUGGACAUGUUGGAGGCCUGCCAUGACCAGAGAGAGAGGGAGAACCAGGCCUUCAAUGAACUGUUCAGGAAGAGCAUUCAGAUGGUGGCCAAGGCUUUCAGUGGCCAGACUUCUGGGAAUCAGGACAGUGGACUGUUGGACUGAAAUUUUUGUGUGUGGACUGGACAGUUGUUGCCUAAAGUGCUUUUCUUUUG